GACUCUGUGGCUCAACGGUAGAGCAUUCGACUCCAGAUCGAAAGGUUGUGGGUUCGAAUCCCAUCGGGGUCA